rnacentral:rRNA from 1 species
AUUGAACGCUGGCGGCAGGCCUAACACAUGCAAGUCGGACGGUAGCACAGAGGAGCUUGCUCCUCGGGUGACGAGUGGCGGACGGGUGAGUAAUGUCUGGGGAUCUGCCCGAUAGAGGGGGAUAACCACUGGAAACGGUGGCUAAUACCGCAUAACGUCGCAAGACCAAAGAGGGGGACCUUCGGGCCUCUCACUAUCGGAUGAACCCAGAUGGGAUUAGCUAGUAGGCGGGGUAAUGGCCCACCUAGGCGACGAUCCCUAGCUGGUCUGCGAGGAUGACCAGCCACACUGGAACUGAGACACGGUCCAGACUCCUACGGGAGGCAGCAGUGGGGAAUAUUGCACAAUGGGCGCAAGCCUGAUGCAGCCAGGCCGCGUGUAUGAAGAAGGCCUUCGGGUUGUAAAGUACUUUCAGCGGGGAGGAAGGCGGUGAGGUUAAUAACCUUGCCGAUUGACGUUACCCGCAGAAGAAGCACCGGCUAACUCCGUGCCAGCCGCCGCGGUAA